rnacentral:rRNA from 1 species
AGAGUUUGAUCAUGGCUCAGAUUGAACGCUGGCGGCAGGCCUAACACAUGCAAGUCGAGCGGUAGAGGGGAGCUUGCUUCCCUUGCGAGCGGCGGACGGGUGAGUAACGCGUAGGAAUCUACCUAAUAGUGGGGGAUAGCCCAGAGAAAUUUGGAUUAAUACCGCAUACGCCCUACGGGGGAAAGGAGGGGAUCUUCGGACCUUUCGCUAUCAGAUGAGCCUGCGUGAGAUUAGCUAGUUGGUGGGGUAAAGGCUCACCAAGGCGACGAUCUCUAGCUGGUCUGAGAGGAUGAUCAGCCACACUGGGACUGAGACACGGCCCAGACUCCUACGGGAGGCAGCAGUGGGGAAUAUUGGACAAUGGGCGCAAGCCUGAUCCAGCCAUGCCGCGUGUGUGAAGAAGGCCUUCGGGUUGUAAAGCACUUUCAGCGAGGAGGAAAGGUUGCCGCUUAAUACGCGGUAGCUGUGACGUUACUCGCAGAAGAAGGACCGGCUAACUCCGUGCCAGCAGCCGCGGUAAUACGGAGGGUCCAAGCGUUAAUCGGAAUUACUGGGCGUAAAGCGCGCGUAGGCGGUUAGAUCAGUCAACUGUGAAAGCCCUGGGCUCAACCUGGGAACUGCAGCUGAUACUGUCUAACUAGAGUUUGGUAGAGGAGUGUGGAAUUUCCUGUGUAGCGGUGAAAUGCGUAGAUAUAGGAAGGAACACCAGUGGCGAAGGCGACACUCUGGACCAAAACCUGACACUGAGGUGCGAAAGCGUGGGUAGCAAACAGGAUUAGAUCCCCUGGUAGUCCACGCCGUAAACGAUGUCAACUAGCUGUUGGAGGACUUGAUCCUUUAGUGGCGCAGCUAACGCGUUAAGUUGACCGCCUGGGGAGUAUGGCCGUAAGGCUAAAACUCAAAUGAAUUGACGGGGGCCCGCACAAGCGGUGGAGCAUGUGGUUUAAUUCGACGCAACGCGAAGAACCUUACCUACUCUUGACAUCCUCGGAACUCGGCAGAGAUGCCUUGGUGCCUUCGGGAGCCGAGUGACAGGUGCUGCAUGGCUGUCGUCAGCUCGUGUCGUGAGAUGUUGGGUUAAGUCCCGUAACGAGCGUAAUCCUUGUCCUUAUUUGCCAGCAUGUAAUGGUGGGAAUUUUAAGGAGACUGCCGGUGAUAAACCGGAGGAAGGUGGGGACGACGUCAAGUCAUCAUGGCCCUUACGAGUAGGGCUACACACGUGCUACAAUGGCGCAUACAAAGGGCAGCGAACUGGCAACAGUAAGCGAAUCCCAUAAAGUGCGUCGUAGUCCGGAUUGGGGUCUGCAACUCGACCCCAUGAAGUCGGAAUCGCUAGUAAUCGUAGAUCAGAAUGCUACGGUGAAUACGUUCCCGGGCCUUGUACACACCGCCCGUCACACCAUGGGAGUGGGCUGCACCAGAAGUCAUUAGCUUAACCUUCGGGAGGGCGAUGACCACGGUGUGGUUCAUGACUGGGGUGAAGUCGUAACAAGGUAACCGUA